GUUGAACGCUGGCGGCAGGCCUAACACAUGCAAGUCGAGCGGCAGCGGGAAAGUAGCUUGCUACUUUUGCCGGCGAGCGGCGGACGGGUGAGUAAUGCCUGGGAAAUUGCCCAGUCGAGGGGGAUAACAGUUGGAAACGACUGCUAAUACCGCAUACGCCCUACGGGGGAAAGCAGGGGACCUUCGGGCCUUGCGCGAUUGGAUAUGCCCAGGUGGGAUUAGCUAGUUGGUGAGGUAAUGGCUCACCAAGGCGACGAUCCCUAGCUGGUCUGAGAGGAUGAUCAGCCACACUGGAACUGAGACACGGUCCGGACUCCUACGGGAGGCAGCAGUGGGGAAUAUUGCACAAUGGGGGAAACCCUGAUGCAGCCAUGCCGCGUGUGUGAAGAGGGCCUUCGGGUUGUAAAGCACUUUCAGCGAGGAGGAAAGGUCAGUAGCUAAUAUCUGCUGACUGUGACGUUACUCGCAGAAGAAGCACCGGCUAACUCCGUGCCAGCCGCCGCCGUAAAAC
rnacentral:rRNA from 1 species